rnacentral:rRNA from 1 species
CGUAGGGUGCGAGCGUUGUCCGGAUUUAUUGGGCGUAAAGAGCUUGUAGGCGGUUUGUCGCGUCGGGAGUGAAAACUCAGUGCUUAACACUGAGCCUGCUUCCGAUACGGGCAGACUUGAGGAAGGUAGGGGAUGAUCCUGUGAAGCGGUGGAAUGCGUAGAUAUCAGGAGGAACACCAGUGGCGAAGGCGGAUCUCUGGACCUUUCCUGACGCUGAGAAGCGAAAGCGUGGGGAGGCAAACAGGCUUAGAUACCCGGGUA